AGGUUAAGUGAAUAAGGGCGCACGGUGGAUGCCUUGGCACUAGGAGCCGAUGAAGGACGGGACUAACACCGAUAUGCUUUGGGGAGCUGUAAGUAAGCUAUGAUCCAGAGAUUUCCGAAUGGGGGAACCCAAUAUCUUUUAUAGGAUAUUACUUUUCAGUGAAUACAUAGCUGAUUAGAGGUAGACGCAGAGAACUGAAACAUCUUAGUAUCUGCAGGAAGAGAAAGAAAAUUCGAUUCCCUGAGUAGCGGCGAGCGAAACGGGAAGAGCCCAAACCAACAAGCUUGCUUGUUGGGGUUGUAGGACUCCAAUAUGGUAGUCUGUUAGUAUAGUUGAAGGAUUUGGAAAAUUCCGCUAAAGAGGGUGAAAGCCCCGUAGACGAAAUGCUAACAACACCUAGGAGGAUCCUGAGUACGGCGGAACACGAGAAAUUCCGUCGGAAUCCGCGGGGACCAUCCCGCAAGGCUAAAUACUCCCUAGUGACCGAUAGUGAACCAGUACCGUGAGGGAAAGGUGAAAAGCACCCCGGAAGGGGAGUGAAAUAGAUCCUGAAACCGUGUGCCUACAACAAGUCAAAGCUCGUUAAUGAGUGAUGGCGUGCCUUUUGUAGAAUGAACCGGCGAGUUACGAUUGCAUGCGAGGUUAAGUCGAAGAGACGGAGCCGCAGCGAAAGCGAGUCUGAAUAGGGCGAAUGAGUAUGUAGUCGUAGACCCGAAACCAUGUGAUCUACCCAUGUCCAGGUUGAAGGUGCGGUAAAACGCACUGGAGGACCGAACCCACGUACGUUGAAAAGUGCGGGGAUGAGGUGUGGGUAGCGGAGAAAUUCCAAACGAACUUGGAGAUAGCUGGUUCUCUCCGAAAUAGCUUUAGGGCUAGCCUCGGAAUUGAGAAUGAUGGAGGUAGAGCACUGUUUGGACUAGGGGCCCAUCUCGGGUUACCGAAUUCAGAUAAACUCCGAAUGCCAUUCAUUUAUAUCCGGGAGUCAGACUGCGAGUGAUAAGAUCCGUAGUCGAAAGGGAAACAGCCCAGACCACCAGCUAAGGUCCCAAAAUAUAUGUUAAGUGGAAAAGGAUGUGGGGUUGCACAGACAACUAGGAUGUUGGCUUAGAAGCAGCCACCAUUUAAAGAGUGCGUAAUAGCUCACUAGUCGAGUGACCCUGCGCCGAAAAUGUACCGGGGCUAAACAUAUUACCGAAGCUGUGGACUACACCAUUAGGUGUAGUGGUAGGAGAGCGUUCUAAGGGCGUUGAAGGUCGAUCGUGAGGACGGCUGGAGCGCUUAGAAGUGAGAAUGCCGGUAUGAGUAGCGAAAGACAGGUGAGAAUCCUGUCCACCGUAUGACUAAGGUUUCCUGGGGAAGGCUCGUCCGCCCAGGGUUAGUCGGGACCUAAGCCGAGGCCGAUAGGCGUAGGCGAUGGACAACAGGUUGAUAUUCCUGUACCAGUUGUUUUUGUUUGAGCAAUGGAGGGACGCAGUAGGCUAAGGAAUGCAUGCGAUUGGAAGUGCAUGUCCAAGCAAUGAGUCUUGAGUAGAGUUAAAUGCUUUACUCUCUAAGGACAAGUUGUGACGGGGAGCGAAAUAAUAGUAGCGAAGUUCCUGAUGUCACACUGCCAAGAAAAGCUUCUAGUGAGAAAACAACUGCCCGUACCGUAAACCGACACAGGUAGUCGAGGAGAGUAUCCUAAGGUGAGCGAGCGAACUCUCGUUAAGGAACUCGGCAAAAUGACCCCGUAACUUCGGGAGAAGGGGUGCUGACUUCGGUCAGCCGCAGUGAAUAGGCCCAAGCGACUGUUUAUCAAAAACACAGGUCUCUGCAAAAUCGUAAGAUGAAGUAUAGGGGCUGACGCCUGCCCGGUGCUGGAAGGUUAAGAGGAUGGGUUAGCUUCGGCGAAGCUCAGAAUUGAAGCCCCAGUAAACGGCGGCCGUAACUAUAACGGUCCUAAGGUAGCGAAAUUCCUUGUCGGGUAAGUUCCGACCCGCACGAAAGGCGUAACGAUUUGGGCACUGUCUCAACGAGAGACUCGGUGAAAUUUUAGUACCUGUGAAGAUGCAGGUUACCCGCGACAGGACGGAAAGACCCCAUGGAGCUUUACUGUAGUUUGAUAUUGAGUGUUUGUACCACAUGUACAGGAUAGGUAGGAGCCGAUGAGACCGGAACGCUAGUUUCGGAGGAGGCGCUGGUGGGAUACUACCCUUGUGUUAUGAACCCUCUAACCCGCACCACUAAUCGUGGUGGGAGACAGUGUCAGAUGGGCAGUUUGACUGGGGCGGUCGCCUCCUAAAAGGUAACGGAGGCGCCCAAAGGUUCCCUCAGAAUGGUUGGAAAUCAUUCGAAGAGUGUAAAGGCAGAAGGGAGCUUGACUGCGAGACCUACAAGUCGAGCAGGGACGAAAGUCGGGCUUAGUGAUCCGGUGGUUCCGCAUGGAAGGGCCAUCGCUCAACGGAUAAAAGCUACCCUGGGGAUAACAGGCUUAUCUCCCCCAAGAGUCCACAUCGACGGGGAGGUUUGGCACCUCGAUGUCGGCUCGUCGCAUCCUGGGGCUGUAGUCGGUCCCAAGGGUUGGGCUGUUCGCCCAUUAAAGCGGCACGCGAGCUGGGUUCAGAACGUCGUGAGACAGUUCGGUCCCUAUCCGUCGCGGGCGUUGGAAAUUUGAGAGGAGCUGUCCUUAGUACGAGAGGACCGGGAUGGACUUACCGCUGGUGUACCAGUUGUUCUGCCAAGGGCAUUGCUGGGUAGCUAUGUAGGGAAGGGAUAAACGCUGAAAGCAUCUAAGUGUGAAGCCCACCUCAAGAUGAGAUUUCCCAUUUCUUUAAGAAAGUAAGACCCCUGAGAGAUGAUCAGGUAGAUAGGUUGGAAGUGGAAGGCUAGUGAUAGUUGGAGCGGACCAAUACUAAUCGGUCGAGGACUUAACCAAA
rnacentral:rRNA from 1 species